rnacentral:misc_RNA from 1 species
GAAAUGCGAUAAGUAAUGUGAAUUGCAGAAUUCAGUGAAUCAUCGAAUCUUUGAACGCACAUUGCGCCCAUUAGUAUUCUAGUGGGCAUGCCUGUUCGAGCGUCAUUACAACCCUUAAGCCUAGCUGCUUAGUGUUGGGAAUUCACCGUAACUGGUGACUCCUCAAAGGUAUUGGCGGAGUCGAGUCGAACUCUGAGCGUAGUAAUUCUUUUUCUCGCUUCUGAACUCCUCUCGGCGACAGCCACAAACCUACUAUACUUCUAGUGUUUGACCUCGGAUCAGGUAGGAAUACCCGCUGAACUUAA